UUUGCAAAUGGCGAACAGCUGAUUCUGAGACUGCGCGGUGUACAACAUAGUGCAGUACAUAUGUUGUUCACGUUUUUCUGCACAAAAUGCGGAGAAAAAAGUUGAACAGUUGAUACUAAACCCGGAAAUCCCGAAUAUACCAUUGGGAAGAAUGACAAUAAGACUCACUUGUUUGAAGUACUACUGUUAUUCUCCAGACUUCCUGCUGGUAUUUUACUUAUCACAUGCAAAAUACCCAGAAAAAAAUUGUCUUCAGUUUUUGUGAACAUACACAAUGUUGUCUCUUUGUGGAAGAGCAGUACUUGUAAAACAAUGGAGCUGUCAAAAUGAAUUUCUCCAGAUGCUUUAUAAGUAUGUCAGCACCCAAGGCCCCCAGGGUGACAGUUCUGCAUACUUUAGUGAUGGUCCGAGAUCUCAGAAGUUGUCAUGGUCAACAUCUACUGGAAAUAAUUCUCUUCUUCCUAAACAAGCUCAAGUGGUAAUAUGUGGUGCUGGAACAGUAGCAAAUUCUGUAGCAUAUCAUCUUGUGCAAAGUGGGUGGCAUGAUAUAUUGGUACUGGAACAAGAAAGGAUUGGAAGUGGCACAUCUUCAUUUGGCUCUGGCACCUUGGGCCUUUUUAAACCUAUGGCUGACAGACAUCUUAUUAUGUACAGCAUUAAACUAUAUCGACAGCUUGAGGAAUUGGGAUAUGAUAUAGGUUUAAAACAGUGCGGUAGCUUGAAUUUGGCUCAGACCAAGGACAGGAUGAUAUCAUUACGUCGUCGAAUGGCAUACCAUCAGGCAACCGGUUUACAUUGCGAAGUUGUUGGUAGCAAUGAACUUAAGAAAUUGCAUCCAUACUUGAGAACUGAAGACUUGGUUGGAGCAAUCUGGGUUCCUGAGGAUGCUGUGGCAAAACCUCAAGCUGUGUGUUAUGUUUUAGCAAAGUUGGCAAGAGAAGGAGGUGCACGAUAUGUUGAAGACUGCCAGGUGGUACAAGUUUUAACUGAAAAUGCUCGAGUAAAAGCUGUAGCAACCAACAAUGGAACUGUGUUAUGUGAAUAUUUUAUCAACUGUGCAGGAAUGUGGGCAAGAGAGCUGGGCCAGCGAUGUAGCCCUAAGGUGCGUGUGCCUGCUGUCCCAGCAGAACACUUCUAUGCAACAACUGCGUCACCACAACUGUUGUUAGAUCCGUGGUUGCCAUGUGUGAGGGAUUAUGAUGCACAUACAUAUGCUAGAGAGUGGGAAGGAGGUUUUAUGGUCGGUGGCUUUGAAAAAGAAGCAAAACCUGCAUUUGGGGGUGGAGGUAUUCCUGAAGAAUGGAGAAAUCGCUUACCUCAAGACUGGGCCCAUUUCAAACCACUGUGGGAGAAAGCGGUACACAGGUUACCUAUACUGAAUGACAUGGCAACGCCAAUCCUUACUAAUUCACCAGAUAAUUUUACUCCUGAUGGAAAGUGGAUUCUGGGAGAAACACCUGAGGUAGACAACUACUUUGUAGCAGUGGGGAUGAAUGGUAAUUCAUUGCAAGGUGCUGGAGGGAUUGGGAAAGCAGUGGCUGAGUGGAUCAUUGAAGGUGAACCAACAACAGAACUGCUUCCAUUCAGUGUCCAGCGUUUUAUAGAUUUACAUAACAAUAGACAGUAUUUACAAGAAAGAGCAAGAGAAAUUGUUGGAAGGCACUACAGUAUUCUUUACCCUCAUCAGUCAGAGUACAAAUACGCAAGAAAACUGCGCUGUUCACCAUUAUACAGUGAACUAGAAAGCAGAGGUGCUGUAUUUGGAACACGCAUGGGUUAUGAAAGACCUCUUUACUUUGAUUCAACAUACAAGCGUGGUGAUCCUUUACCCGAAAUGCCUCGAGGAAGCUUCUACAAACCAAAGUUCUUUGACUUUAUGCGUGAAGAAUAUUUGGCAUGCAGAGAAGGAGUUGGCAUAAUUGACAUGUCGUCAUUCUCUAAGAUAGAAAUAAAGUCUUCUGGCACUGAAGUUGUUGACUAUCUCCAAAAGCUUUGCUCUAAUGAUGUCAAUAUUCCAGUAGGUGGUAUAUCUCAUACUGGAAUGCAGAAUGAAAGAGGUGGUUAUGAAAAUGACUGCAUGUUAGUUCGAAAAACUGAUAACAGCUACUUCAUGGUGUCACCAACUAGUCAACAGACAAGGAUAUUUGAAUGGAUGCGUCGACAUCUUCCUGCCAAUCGAAGUGUAGGAAUUUCUGAUCUCACAUCGAUGUACACAGUCAUAAAUGUUGUUGGGCCUAAGGCACCUGACCUGAUGGCAGAACUGUCAAACUCUGAUGUGAAUCUUCAUCCUUUUACAUACAAACAAAUUAAUGUUGGGUAUGCAUCAGAUGUUAUGGUAAUGGCAUUCACACACACAGGAGAGCCAGGAUAUUGUCUCUAUGUUCCAUCAGAAUAUGCUUUGCAUGUAUAUGAGCAACUGAUGAUGAUUGGACAUGACUAUGGUGCAAGAGAUGUUGGUUGCUUGACACAGCGUUUCAUGAGGAUUGAGAGGUUUAUUCCAUUUUGGGGAGAAGAGCUCACAAGUCUAGUGACGCCAUUUGAAGCAGGAAGUGGUUACCGGGUAAAGCUUGAUAAAGAGUACUUCAUUGGAAAAUUUGCUCUUCAGCGUCAGAAGGAGCAGGGUGUGACAAAAAGGCUUGUUUUGUUUGUACUGGAGGAUAUCGAUCCCGAUAAACAUGUAUGGCCAUGGGGCGGUGAACCACUGUACAGAAAUAAUGAAUUUGUUGGGACUGUCACGUCAGCAGGGACCACUGAAGAUAACUGAUUUAGAAACAAAGGAAGCUGUACUGCACAAGACUUCGGAGAGAGUAAAGACUCUGGUUUAAGAACACAUGAACGGAGACAAGGAGGGGACCAGAGGGAGGAAUGAAGGGAUUUGAUCAGAUAAAUGUGGCUCAAAGUAUAAACUAGUUCCUGAUUAAUCAUUAAUUAUGCAAAUGCUAAAGCCAAAUAAAUAUUACACAAGGAAAUUAAACAAUUGUCAGUGUUGAAUCCUGUAUUUUGGUACUGCAGUUCUGCACCAUGGUGCAACACUGUUUAACUUGCUGGCAGAAAAAUGGGAACCAAAAAGGUAUGGUUUCACACUUGACAAACUAAUAUGCUUGGGUUAUAUUAGACACCCUGGAUUAACCAACAGUGAUUCAAGACCCAUUGUCACAAAUGACUUCAUAAUGACCCGAAAUGCAAAGUAUGAAGUUGAUA
rnacentral:misc_RNA from 1 species